CCGCCCGUCACACCAUGAGAGUUGAUAAUACCAGAAGUCGGUAUUCUAACCGCAAGGAGGAAGCCGCCCAAGGUAGGAUUGAUGAUUAGGGUGAAGUCGUAACAAGGUAUCCGUACGAGAACGUGCGGAUGGAUCACCUCCUUUCUAUGGAGUUAAUACUUUAUAGUAAUUAACUAGUUUUAAUGACCGUUAUGUUUAGUUUUCAGAGAUUAGUUUCUCUGAAAAUAACAAGUAAAUGUUAUUGGAAUUGUUCUUUGAAAACUGGAUAAUAGACAUCUAGUUAUUUUAAUCACAUGAUUAAAAUAACAAUAAUUCAAAAUUUCUGUUAUUUUUAAAAAAUAACUAAAAUUUCACAGUUAUAUUUGUAAAUGAUUCUCAAAAAACUGAUUUAAAAUCAGGUCAAAUAAUUUAUAAAACUUUGAAGUUACAAAGGGCGUAUGGUGAAUGCCUUGGGAAUAGGAGACGAUGAAGGACGUGACUACCUGCGAUAAGGUUCGGGGAGCUGGAAGUAAGCUUUGAUCCGGACAUGUCCGAAUGGGGAAACCCGGUGAGAUUAAUCUCUCAUCAUCCUAUAAUGAAUAAAUAGUUAUAGUGAAGGUAUACCUAGGGAAUUGAAACAUCUUAGUACCUAGAGGAAAAGAAAGCGAAUGCGAUUCUCUUAGUAGCGGCGAGCGAACGGGGAACAGCCCAAACCAGAUUUAUCUGGGGUUGUAGGACCAUAAAUAGUAGAGUUACAAAACUUGUUUAUAGUAGAAAUGGUUGGGAAACCAUGCCGUAGAGGGUGAUAGCCCCGUAUACGAAAUAGACAAGACUCGAAAUGGAAUCCUGAGUACGGCGAGACACGUGAAAUCUUGUCGGAAUCAACGCGGACCACCGCGUAAGGCUAAAUACUACCUAUUCACCGAUAGUGAACCA
rnacentral:sRNA from 1 species